UACGAAGGGGGCUAGCGUUGUUCGGAAUUACUGGGCGUAAAGCGCGCGCAGGCGGUUCUUCAAGUCAGAGGUGAAAGCCCAGAGCUCAACUCUGGAAUGGCCUUUGAGACUAGAGAACUAGGGUACGGGAGAGGUGAGUGGAAUUCCGAGUGUAGAGGUGAAAUUCGUAGAUAUUCGGAAGAACACCAGUGGCGAAGGCGAACUUACUGGACGAUUGUUGACGCUGAGGUGCGAAAGCGUGGGGAGCAAACAGG
rnacentral:rRNA from 1 species